rnacentral:rRNA from 1 species
CCCUUAGAUGUCCGGGGCUGCACGCGCGCUACACUGAAGGAAUCAGCGUGCUAAAACCAUUGUCGAAAGGCAUUGGUAAACCCAUUAAAAUCCUACGUGAUUGGGAUCGGGAAUUGCAAUUAUUUCCCUUGAACGAGGAAUUCCCAGUAAGUGUGGGUCAUAAGCUCGCGUUGAUUACGUCCCUGCCCUCUGUACACACCGCCCGUCGCUGCCCGGGACUGAGCCGUUUCGAGAAAAGCGGGGACUGCUGCUGUCGGGGCUUUCGGGCCUUGGCUUCGGUGGAAACCGCUUUAAUCGCAGUGGCUUGAACCGGGCAAAAGUCGUAACA